GAUCAGAUUCACUUUCCUUGACCUAAAACCAAGAAAAAAAGAAAGCAUGAAAUGUCCGAAAAAAAGAAUAUGAACUAUAGGAAUAAAGAUCAGUAAACAACUCAACUCAAACUCAGAGCAAACCAAAGGUAAGAAUUCCAUUAAUGUAUACAAGAAAGGAAUGUAAUUUACCUCAGGCAAUUUUGUUGACGCUUCACUGGCCUUCUGCUGA
rnacentral:misc_RNA from 1 species